rnacentral:rRNA from 1 species
GAGUUUGAUCAUGGCUCAGGAUGAACGCUGGCGGCGUGCCUAACACAUGCAAGUCGAACGGGGAUUAUAAACGGAAGUUUUCGGAUGGAAGUUUAUAAUCUUAGUGGCGGACGGGUGAGUAACGCGUGGGCAACCUGCCUCAUACAGGGGGACAACAGACGGAAACGUCUGCUAAGACCGCAUACGUCUUUUUGGUCGCAUGACUGAGAAGGGAAAAGAGCAAUCUGGUAUGAGAUGGGCCCGCGUCUGAUUAGCUAGUUGGUAAGGUAACGGCUUACCAAGGCGACGAUCAGUAGCCGGACUGAGAGGUCGGACGGCCACAUUGGGACUGAGACACGGCCCAAACUCCUACGGGAGGCAGCAGUGGGGGAUAUUGCACAAUGGAGGAAACUCUGAUGCAGCGACGCCGCGUGAGUGAAGAAGUAUUUCGGUAUGUAAAGCUCUAUCAGCCAGGGAAGAUGAUGACGUACCUAC